CCUACGGUGUGCAGCAGUGAGGAAUAUUGGUCAAUGGGCGGAAGCCUGAACCAGCCAAGUCGCGUGAGGGAAUAAGGCCCUACGGGUCGUAAACCUCUUUUGCCGGGGAGCAAGGGCGGGGACGUGUCCCGGCCCGGAGAGUACCCGGAGAAAAAGCAUCGGCUAACUCCGUGCCAGCAGCCGCGGUAAUACGGAGGAUGCGAGCGUUAUCCGGAUUUAUUGGGUUUAAAGGGUGCGUAGGCGGGAUGCCAAGUCAGCGGUCAAAUACGGGGGCUCAACCUGCGUCCGCCGUUGAAACUGGCGUUCUUGAGUGGGCGAGAAGUACGCGGAAUGCGUGGUGUAGCGGUGAAAUGCAUAGAUAUCACGCAGAACCCCGAUUGCGAAGGCAGCGUACCGGCGCCCGACUGACGCUGAAGCACGAAAGCGUGGGUAUCGAACAGGAUUAGAUACCCCUGUAGUC
rnacentral:rRNA from 1 species